ACAAGAGAAGGAUCUGGACUCAGAAACUGCAGGACUGGAUCAAAAAUGGAGACAGAGCAUUGACAUCUUAAGACCCUCCUCAGGGAUCAUACACUCCAGUGGGGAAGACAGACACAAAAUAAAUGGUUGAGCAGAAGAAGAUGGAGAUAUGGGCUUGCCUGGCAAGGACAUUCAGUUGUCUCAGAAUGAGAAGAAAGCCCCGACUCUCAUCGUUUGUCCAGAACUUCCAUUUACCCAUUCCCUGAACAAGCGGCACUGGACUGCUGGAAGCCAGAAUCGAACGCCACCCUGCCCGGCUCUCCGAAGGACCAAGCUCUCUGCGGCCGGCCGACCAUGCACACACACAAACUCCGCAGUACUGGACUUUCCAUUACCUACUUCACCACCGGUGUAGAAGUCAGAGUUUGUCGGGUGCACGACAGCAUCACUGUCAAUCGUGGCAAUGUCAGCCUGAACAACUUGCAACUAUAACGGGUAAACAGAUGGGUAUCAACCUUGUUGGUCCGAGAGACCUUCCGCCCAGGCUCUCUACGUUCACGGCUGUGCCAGGGCCCAGAAACCUACUCACUGGCACCCUGCAGGGAAAGAAACUAAUAUGUGGCAUCUGAUGGAAGAGAGAAAUUCUGGAUCAGUGGCCCAAUCCAAAUAAGUAGUUUCUCCAUUUUGUCAUCAGCAAUGAGCUAGCAGCUUUUCUUUUAAAACUUGUGACAGUCGUCAUUUUGUCUGCCUUAAAGGGUUGCCUCCUUUAAACAGAGAAAACAGUAUUUUUGAGUGGGAAGUGCUGGAUGUGUUUUUUUAAAA